AGCCCCGUAGUGUAGCUGGGCAAGCACACCGGCCUCUGGAGCCGGGGACGCCGGUUCGAAUCCGGCCGGGGCUA
rnacentral:tRNA from 1 species